rnacentral:lncRNA from 1 species
UUAUUUAUUUAUUUAUUUUCUGAAUUUUCAGUUUAUUUAUUUAUUUAUUUUUGAAUUUUUAGUUUAUUUAUUUUCUGAAUUUUCAGUUUAUUUAUUUAUUUAUUUUCGAAUUUUCAGUUUAUUUAUUUUCUGAAAAAUUUAUUUUCCAGUUUUCAUUUUAAUUAUGUUUCAGUUUUUAGUUUAUUUAAUUAAAGAGUAAAAAAGAAGAAGAAAGAAAUAGCGUAUAUA